GAAGGCAUUCUCCAUUUUUCUCAGGGUACAGGCCUCAGUUUUACAUGAGAACUACUGAUGUGACAGGUAAGGUGACUCAGAUUAAGAACGAUAAGGAUGAGGAAUCAAAGAUGGUUAUGCCUGGUGAUCGUGUGAAGAUUGUGGUUGAGCUCAUUGUGCCUGUUGCUUGUGAGCAGGGAAUGAGGUUUGCUAUUCGCGAAGGAGGGAAGACUGUUGGAGCCGGGGUUAUUCAAUCUAUCAUUGAGUGAUACAGGC
rnacentral:lncRNA from 1 species